ACGCGCCGGGUGGGCUUUGCGGUCCAGGAGGGAGUAGGCCCAGCACCCAGUCUCCUAGCAACACGCUGGCGGCGCACGGCAUCCGGAGCGGAGAGAUGCCGGGCUGCUGGGCGGGGACUCAGAGGUUCCCAGGGUCGUCUGGGCAGGGCCAUCCCCAGGGCAGCGGGGAGAGGACAGGGUCUGAGGCCUUGUGUCCACCGCUCUGAGCGCGUGGGACGAGGCAUGAAAACAAGUCAGCCCUGAACGUGGAGAAUCUGGUUCCUGCCCACUGGAGCAGAGCUCCUGUGUCCCACCUCCCCUCCACCUGCUGAAACGUCAUUGGCACCCAGCAGGUCCCCGGCCUGCCAGUGAAAAGCUCCACUGCCCUCCCGCGGUGAGGCUGGCUCCAGCGCCAGCUGCUGUACUAUCUCAAGACCUCGAUCCAGCUGCAUCACUGCAGUGCCAGGGCCAGCUCCAGAGAGGCCCAGCAAAAACAAGGCAAACGUCACUGGUAGAAAGACAACUGAACCUAGGAAAGCAUUCCUCAGAACCCAAAGCCAGAGGAAGGUUAGCAUCCU